rnacentral:lncRNA from 1 species
CAUGUAUGUAUCCAUAGUCUACCUUAUUAUUCUUCGUAACAUAUCUUGCUUUGCUUCAUAAGUGUAUAUAUGCACACGAAACCCUUAACAAUUACACAUAUAUUGCUAGCUAGCUAGCUAGAUAUAUAGGAGGUUAACCUUCUCUUUGCUCCAAGAAACGGGGCCGCUGUCAACGCCUGGAGAAUGGGGGGAAGCUGCGGCGACCGAGUGGACGGACCUUGGACAGCUGCUUCCGUCGCGGAAGUGCACAGACGUCACACCGCAAAAACCCAGUGCCUGGGUGGCAUCGGGAAGGUGAGACCGCGCGCGGAGGACGCGCACACAACUACCUUGAGUCUAAAUUCCCACCACCAUAAACUAAUCUUGGCACGCAUUUGGUGCUUCCUUGUUCCGAAGACGGGAGGCCUCGCUGCCUGCACAAAAUAGUGGGUCAGAUUAAUUUUACAAUCGCGGCCGAAUCAGAGGAUAAGGGCACUGCCAUUGGUCUGCAAGGCUGCCAUCCCUUGAACCAGCAAUAUAGUGAACCCUAACACGUGGGCAUUACGCAGCAAAUCGCGCGCAUGCAUCCAACGUCUCAGUUGGGACACUUGGCACACGUUUCGCCAUGCGCUUUACGAUGAUCGGCCUUGACUCACUUGCUCCUCGGUUUGCUUGGAGUGGCCGAGCCAGCAACCACCUUUCAGCUGAAAUUCGCGGUUCUUGAACGAACUGGACACGACGUGCCAGUUCGACUGUUCACAACACCAUGGGCAUAUGGAUACGUGUAAAAUUCUAUCUGUGUGUACCAUAGCUAUGGUCUUGGAACGGAUGCCGCCGAGGAGCGCAUAAAUGAUGCCGCUGGCUAGUGUUCAGUCACAAAAGUUUGAAGACAUGCAUUGCAGAGGUAACUAACACGCCAUGGGGGGAGCGUAUGCGGAUCAAUUUCUUCCCGAGGGGCGCAAGAGUGCCAAAGUGCUCGCAUGCAUCGCCGUUUCU